AGGACGAACGCUGGCGGCGUGCUUAACACAUGCAAGUCGAACGGUAAGGCCCUUCGGGGUACACGAGUGGCGAACGGGUGAGUAACACGUGGGUGAUCUGCCCUGCACUUCGGGAUAAGCCUGGGAAACUGGGUCUAAUACCGGAUAGGACCAUGGACUUCACGGUUUGUGGUGGAAAGCUUUUGCGGUGUGGGAUGGGCCCGCGGCCUAUCAGCUUGUUGGUGGGGUAAUGGCCUACCAAGGCGACGACGGGUAGCCGGCCUGAGAGGGUGUCCGGCCACACUGGGAUUGAGAUACGGCCCAGACUCCUACGGGAGGCAGCAGUGGGGAAUAUUGCACAAUGGGCGCAAGCCUGAUGCAGCGACGCCGCGUGAGGGAUGACGGCCUUCGGGUUGUAAACCUCUUUCAAUAGGGACGAAGCGCAAGUGACGGUACCUAUAGAAGAAGCACCGGCCAACUACGUG
rnacentral:rRNA from 1 species